UCAAAUACCCUUCUCUCUCUCUACGCUCACUCCCUCUCUCUCUAGAAAUGGCUCCGGCAUAGAAAUCGAGGGGUGGAAAGGCAUUGUAGCAGGAGAAUGAGAUCCUCGAGGCGACGCUACCGUCGCACGGCCUCCCGACAAGUCGUUCGAGAAAGAUGCGAUGGAGAUGCAGGCGUUAGCCCUAGAUCAAUUCCACCUGAUUCUGUAGGGUUUUCUUCGCACGAUUCUCUGGAAAAACACAGAACGACCCGUCUUCUGAAUCUUUUCUUCAGACGUUGCAUGUGAGGAAACCCAUCAUGCUCUACUUUCCAUUCCAGCCAAUCACUCGAACGAACUAAACAAAAAAGAAGGGGAAGAAGAAGCGGCCAUCAAUGGAACCAAGUCAAGGAAAAAAACCCUGAUGCUGACUUCAAGGAGACCUUGAAAAAUCUGGGCGCUAAGUGAAAGACUCUUCUCGCAGAAGAGACGAAACCUUACGAAGAGAGGUACCAGAACAAGAAAGAAGCAUAUCUGCAGGUUACUGCAAAGGCAAAGUGUGAGAAGGAAGCCAUGAAUCUGUUUGAGGAUGUGCAGAAGCAGAAAACUGAAAUGGAGCUGCUUGCUCAGUAUCUCCGGUUCAUGCAGGAAGCUGAACAGGACAACAACAGGAAAACCAAUUCAUCAUUAACACUGGUUUGAUAUGAACAAUAUGAAUGGACACUGACUACCAUCUGUUUGUUGUGCUCAGGCAGCAGAAGGACCCUUAUCCGCCUUCCUGAUUUAUGCAAACUAGAGAAAAACAUCUCUGAGGGCAGGGAAAACAAGAACCUUGUGGAGACCGCACAGAUGGCGAAGAAGAACAAAGAGUCAUACCUGCAAGAAAUGGACGUCUACAAACGGAUGAAGGAAGAAGAAGAGAUGAAUCAGAAGAACGCAGAGGAGGAACUGUUGAAACUCAACAAACCGGAAGCACUUCAACAACUCCAGAAGGAGAAAACAGAAAAUUUCUUGCAGAGGAAGAAAGUGACCGAGAAGAACAAGAAGAAUGAAAAUGUUGAUCCUAACAACCCCAAGAAGCCUUCUUCUUCACUCCUUCGCUUCAGAAAAGAUGCGAGGAAGGCUUUGCCAGAAAGAAUGCCCUGAAAUCGACAACACGACCAAUUACCAAGUUUUGAAACAUUUUUUAAAAUACACCAUAAGUUUUGAAACAUUUUGCAAAGUCAUAUUCAUUCGCUAGUUCGUUUUUGAUCCCGACCCCAAACACAAAUCUUUACAGGAACUAAGUGAAAAAGAGAGGCAAAGUUACAUAGGAAGGGCUGCGGAGUUGGUGGAGAUAACCAGCUGAAGGAUUCGCUUAUGCCCAAACAGCCCUUGUCAGCGUUCCUGAUUUACGAUGACGAGGGAAGAACAGCUCUGUGGGCAUAAAAACAAGAACCAAGUGGAGGUCGCUAAGAUUUGGUUCAUCAAACCUAGUACGAAUGGUAUCUCCAGGUUAUUGCGAAGGGGAAGUGCGAAAAGGAAGCAUUGAAGAGCAGAUGCAGAAAACUUGGAUGCAGUAGGACCCACUUAAACCAAAAAAGCCCUUGUCAGCGUUCCUGAUUUAUGCAAAUGAUAGAACAGCCUUGCGGACAGAAAACAAAAACCAAGUGGAGGUCGUUAAGAUGACAGGAGACUAGUGAAGAACUUGUCUGAAAAACAAAUGGCAUAAAAAGAACAGAGAGGUAUACGGGCAAGAAAUUUGAGGACAUUAAAGGGAUAAAAGAAGAAGAAGAGACGAAUCUGAAGAAAGAAGAGGUGAAACUGAUGAAACUCCUCACAUGGGAAGCUCUUCGACUGCUUGAGAAGAAAAAGAAAACCGAAAACGUAAUAAAGAAGAAGAAAGAAACCCAGAAGAAUAAGAAGAACCCAAUGAAGAAGACUUUUCGAGAUGAACGCCCUUGUUUCGAUAAAACAAAAGUUGCGUUCAAGAAGCUGAAGGACCUGCUUAAGCCCAAACAGCCCUUGUCAGCGUUUCUGAUUUAUGCAAAGGAGAGAAGAACAGCUCUGCAGACAGAAGGGUAUCUCCAGGUUAUUGCAAAGGAAAAGCACGAGACGGAAGCCAUGAUGGUGUUUGGGGAUGAGGAGUUGCAAAAAACUGCAACAGAGCUGCUUGAUCUGUUGUGUCCAGGAUGCAAAAGGACCCGCUUAAGCCUAAAGAGCCAUAAUCAGCGUGUCAGAUUUGUGCAAAUGUGAGAAGAACAGCUCUGCGGGCAAAAGACAAGAACCAGGGGGAGAUCGCGAAGAUGGCAGUAGAAGAGUGGAUGAACUUGUCUGAAAAACAAAAGGCUAUUCGUGGACUGUUUCCCAUAUAAUUCCACUGCCAUUAAUAGGUGGGCUAGUUAAUCGAUAUCUUAAAUGUGUGUAAUAUCAUGGAAAUUAACAGAUGACGAAGAAGAAGGGAGAGUGAUGCAUGCAAGAAAUGGAGGACUACAAACGGUUGAAGGAAGAAAAAGCGACAAAUCUGCAGAAAGAAGAGAUGGAAUGGAUGAAUCUUCACAAACAGGAAGCACUUCAACUGCUCAAGAAGGAGAAAACUGAAAACAUGAUAAAGAAGAAGAAAGUAACCCAGAAGAAUAAGAAGAACCCAAUGAGGAAGACUUUUCGAGAUGAACGCCCUGGAAUCAACAACUCAACCAUGAACGCCCUUGUUUCGAUAAAAUGGAAGGUUAUUGUGGCAGAGGAGAAGCACUAGAUGGAAGCUAUGAUGCGGUUCGGGUUUUGAGCAGAAGCAGAAAACUGCAGUGGAACAGCUUGAUAAGACAAUAUAGAUCCCUCCUUUCACAUCUGGUGCACGAAGGUGAGACAGGACAACAAGAAGAUAACCUGUUGCAUUCAAGAAGCUGAAGGACCUGCUUAAGCCCAAACAGCCCUUGUCAGCGUUACUGAUUUAUGCAAACAAGAGAAGAACAGCUCUGCAGACAGAAGGGUAUCUCCAGGUUAUUGCAAAGGAAAAGCACGAGACGGAAGCCAUGAUGGUGUUUGGGGAUGAGCAGGAGCAGAAAACUGCAACGGAGCUGCUUGAUCUGGUUUUUAGAUCCCUCCUUUUAAUUCUUGUGCAUGAAGCUGAAAUUGACAACAUUAAGACCUCCAGUUUAUUAUUGCAAGAAAAAUUCUAAAUUUUGAUGCUAAAAUCUGUUUGUAUACAGUUAUGGCAUUAACCCGGUUUAAUUUAUCAACUAAACCAGUAUUUUAAACGGAAGAAAAGGUAUCUCCAGGCUACUAUUGCAGAGGAGAAGCACAAGAUGGAAGCUAUGAAGCUGUUUGGGAACGAGCAGAAGCAGAAAACUGCUAUGGAGAACUGCUUGAGAAGGUGAUUCAGAUCCCCCCUUUCACAUCUGGUGCAGGAAGAAAAGAAGCGAGGAAGACUUUUCAAGAUGAAUGCCCUGAUUCAACAACUCGACCAUGAACGCCCUUAUUUCAUUAAAAUGGAAGGUAAAUAACGUCAGUAAGGUAAAUAAUGUCAGUAUUUUCUAAAACACUUAAUAAGUUUUGUAACGUUUUGUAAGGUCAUAUUCUUUCGCUAGUUUGUUUUUGUUCCCGAACAAAAAAAAAACUUUACAGGAUUUAAGUGAAGUAGAGAGGCAAAUUUACAAUGGAAAGGCUGCGGAGUUGAUGUUGAGGUACAAGAAGGAACUUGAAUAGGACAAAACAAAGUGUGCUACUUUACUUCAUAGAAGUAAGCUAAUAACGAACAAAUCCCAAGGAGAGAUAUUAGCAAAGAUGUUCACCUUUGGUCAUAUUGAAUGUCUUUUGAUAUGAAUACUAAUACUAAAUUUUAGGAUGCAGAAAUGUUAUGGAAUGAACCCUUUUUAGAAAAAUUCUGGAUUUUGAUGCUAAAAUCUGUUUGUAUACAGUUGUGGCAUUAACCCGGUUUAAAUUAUGAACUAAACCGGUAUUUUAAACGGAAAAAAAAAAGGUAUCUCCAGGUUAUUAUUGUAAGAGAAGAAGCACUAGAUGGAAACUAUGAGGCUGUUUGGGAAUGAACAGAAGCUGAAAACUGCAAUGGAACUGCUUGAUAAGGUAAUAUAGAUCCCUCCUUUCAAUUCUUGUGCAGGAAGCUGAGACAGGUAAACAAGAAGAUAGCCAGAUGUGUCCAAGUUGCUGAAGGACCCCCUUAUGUCCAAACAGCCCUUGUCAGCGUUUCUGAUUUAUGGAAGCCAGAGAAGAACAGCUCUGCUGGCAAAAAGCAAGAACGGAGUGGAGAACGCGAAUUUGGCAGCAGAAAAGCGGAAGAACUUGUCUGAAAAACAAAAGGCGCCAUACACGGACUCUUUCCGAUAUUAUUUCACUGCCAUUGUCAGGUGGGUUAAGUUAAUGAAUAUCUAAUAUGUGUGUAAUAUAGUGGAAUUGAACAGAUGAUGAAGAAGAAGGGAGAGGUAUGCAUGCGAGAAAUGGAGGUCUAUAAACGGUUGAAGGAAGAAGAAGAGACGAUAUUGCAGAGAGAAGAGAUAGAAUGGAUGAAACUUCACCAAACUUGGUCGUAUUGAAUGUCCAGGUUAUUAUUGCAGAGGAGAAGCACUAGAUGGAAGCUAUGAAGAUGUUUUGGAAUGAGCAGAAGCAGAAAACUGCUUUGGAAAACUGCUUGAUAAGGUAUUAAAGAUCCCUCCUUUCACAUCUGGCUCAGGAAGGUGAGACAGGACAACAAGAAGAUAACCCGGUAAUAUAGAACCAUCCUUUUAAUAUAUCAUCCACACUGCUUUGAUAUGAACAAUAUGAAUGGGAACUGAUUACCACCUGUCAGUUGCGUUCAAGAAGCUGAAGGGUAUCUGAUUUAUGCAAACGAGAGAAGAACAGCUCUGCAGACUGACGGGUAUCUCCAGGUUAUUGCAAAGGAAAAGCACGAGACGGAAGCCAAGAUGCUGUUUGGGGAUGAGCAGGAGCAGAAAACUGCAACGGAGCUGCUUGAUCUGGAUGCAGAAGGACCCACUUAAGCCUAAAAAGCCAUAGUCAGCGCGCCUGAUUUCUGCAAAUGUGAGAAGAACAGCUCUGCGAGCAAAAGACAAGAACCGGGGGGAGAUCACGAACAUGGCAGUAGAAGAGUGGAUGAACUUGCCUGGAAAAGAAAAGGCUAUACGUGGACUGUUUCCCAUAUAACUCCACUGCCAUUAAUAGGUGGGCUAGUUAAUCGAUAUCUUAAAUCUGUGUAAUAUCAUGGAAAUUAACAGAUGACGAAGAAGAAGGGAGAGUGAUGCGUGCAAGAAAUGGAGGACUACAAACGGUUGAAGGACGAAGAAGCGACAAAUCUGCAGAAAGAAGAGAUGGAACGGAUGAAACUUCACAAUUAGGAAGCACUUCAACUGCUCAAGAAGGAGAAAACUGAAAACAUGAUAAAGAAGAAGAAAGUAACCCAGAAGAAUAAGAAGAACCCAAGUAGCUCUCUUUUUUACUCCUCUUAGCUACCGACCUUAAUCCAUCAGACACGAAUGAAUCAGUGGCUCAAACUAUUAUUUUUAUUUCAAACCUGAGGUAAAAAUCAUUACUUUAGAAACCCUGUUUGUGUAAAUGUGCAGAAAAGAAGCGAGGAAGGCUUUUCAAGAUGAAUGCCCUGAUUCAACAACUCGACCAUGAACGCCCUUAUUUCAUUAAAAUGGAAGGUAAAUAACGUCAGUAAGGUAAAUAAUGUCAGUAUUUUCUAAAACACUUAAUAAGUUUUGUAACGUUUUGUAAGGUCAUAUUCUUUCGCUAGUUUGUUUUUGUUCCCGAACAAAAAAAAAACUUUACAGGAAUUAAGUGAAGUAGAGAGGCAAAGUAGUAAUGGAAAGGCUGCGGAGUUGAUGUUGAGGUACAAGAAGGAACUUGAAUAGGACAAAACAAAGUGUGCUUCUUUACUUCAUAGAAGUAAGCUAAUAACGAACAAAUCCCAAGGAGAGAUAUUAGCAAAGAUGUUCACGUUUGGUCAUAUUGAAUGUCUUUUGAUAUGAAUACUAACACUAAAUUUUAGGAUGCAGAAAUGUUACGGAAUGAACCCUUUCUAGAAAAAUUCUGGAUUUUGAUGCUAAAAUCUGUUUGUAUACAAUUGUGCCAUUAACCCGGUUUAAAUUAUCAAUGAAACCGGUAUUUUAAACAGAAAAAAAGGUAUCUCCAGGUUAUUAUUGUAAGAGGAGAAGCACUAGAUGGAAACUAUGAAGCUGUUUAGGAAUGAACAGAAGCUGAAAACUGCAAUGGAACUGCUUGAUAAGAUAAUAUAGAUCCCUCCUUCCAAUUCUUGUGCAGGAAACUGAGACAGGUAAACAAGAAGAUAGCCAGGUAAUAUAGACCUCUCCUUUCAAUUCGUCAACCACACUGGUUUGAUAUGAACAAUAUGAAUGGGCAUUGACUACCAAUUGUUAGAUGUGUCCAAGUUGCUGAAGGACCGCCUUAUGCCCAAACAGCCCUUGUCAGCGUUUCUGAUUUAUGGAAGCGAGACAAGAACAGCUCUGCUGGCAAAAAGCAAGAACCGAGUGGGAAACGCGAAUUUUGCAGCAGAAAACUGGAAGGACUUGUCUGAAAAACAAAAGGCGCCAUACGCGGACUCUUUCCUAUAUUAUUUCACUGUCAUUGUCAGGUGGGUUAAGUUAAUGAAUAUCUUAUAUGUGUGUAAUAUAGUGGAAUUUAACAGAUGAUGAAGAAGAAGGGAGAGGUAUGCGUGCGAGAAAUGGAGGUCUAUAAACGGUUGAAGGAAGUAAAAGAGACGAUAUUGCAGAGAGAAGAGAUAGAAUGGAUGAAACUUCACCAAGCUUGGUCGUAUUGAGUGUCCAGGUUAUUAUUGCACAGGAGAAGCACUAGAUGGAAGCUAUGAAGAUGUUUUGGAAUGAGCAGAAGCAGAAAACUGCUAUGGAGAACUGCUUCAUAAGGUAAUACAGAUCCCUCCUUUCAAUUUUUGUGCAGGAAGCUGAGACAGGACAACAAGAAGAUAGCCAGGUAAUAUAUACCCCUCCUUUCAGUUCACCAUCUACACUGGUUUGAUAUGAACAAUAUGAAUGGGUCUGACUACCACCUGUUAGUUGUGUACAAGUUGCUGAAGGACCCGUUUAUGCCCAAACAGCCCUUGUCAGAGUUUCUUAUUUAUGGAAGCAAAAGACGAACAGCUCUGCAGGCAAAAAGCAAGAACUGAGUGGAGAACGCAAAGAUGGCAACAGAAGAGUGGAAGAACUUGCCUGAAAAACAA